AUUGAACGCUGGCGGCAUGCCUUACACAUGCAAGUCGAACGGUAACGCGGGAGCAAUCCUGGCGACGAGCGGCGAACGGGUGAGUAAUACGUCGGAACGUGCCCGAGAGUGGGGGAUAACGAAGCGAAAGCUUUGCUAAUACCGCAUACGAUCUCAGGAUGAAAGCAGGGGACCGCAAGGCCUUGCGCUCACGGAGCGGCCGAUGGCAGAUUAGGUAGUUGGUGGGAUAAAAGCUUACCAAGCCGACGAUCUGUAGCUGGUCUGAGAGGACGACCAGCCACACUGGGACUGAGACACGGCCCAGACUCCUACGGGAGGCAGCAGUGGGGAAUUUUGGACAAUGGGCGCAAGCCUGAUCCAGCCAUGCCGCGUGCAGGAUGAAGGCCUUCGGGUUGUAAACUGCUUUUGUACGGAACGAAAAGACUCUGGUUAAUACCUGGGGUCCAUGACGGUACCGUAAGAAUAAGCACCGGCUAACUACGUGCCAGCAGCCGCCGUAAAAC
rnacentral:rRNA from 1 species